rnacentral:rRNA from 1 species
UACGUAGGGUGCGAGCGUUUGUCCGGAUUUAUUGGGCGUAAAGAGCUCGUAGGCGGUUUGUCGCGUCGGCCGUGAAAUCUCCACGCUUAACGUGGAGCGUGCGGUCGAUACGGGCAGACUUGAGUUCGGUAGGGGAGACUGGAAUUCCUGGUGUAGCGGUGAAAUGCGCAGAUAUCAGGAGGAACACCGGUGGCGAAGGCGGGUCUCUGGGCCGAUACUGACGCUGGAGGAGCGAAAGCCGUGGGGAGCGAACAGG